GACGAACGCUGGCGGCGUGCCUAAUACAUGCAAGUAGAACGCUGAAGGAGGAGCUUGCUUCUCUGGAUGAGUUGCGAACGGGUGAGUAACGCGUAGGUAACCUGCCUGGUAGCGGGGGAUAACUAGUGGAAACGAUAGCUAAUACCGCAUAAUAGUAGAUGUUGCAUGACAUUUGCUUAAAAGGUGCAAUUGCAUCACUACCAGAUGGACCUGCGUUGUAUUAGCUAGUUGGGGGGGUAACGGCUCACCAAGGCGACGAUACAUAGCCGACCGGAGAGGGUGAUCGGCCAACAUGGGAAUGGGAAAAGGCCCAGGAUCCUAAGGGGGGCAGCAGGAGGGAAACUUCGGAAAUGGACGGAAGUCUGACCGCGCAAAGCCGCGGGAGGGAAGAAGGGUUUCGGAUCGGAAAGAUCUGUUGUAAGAGAAGAACGAGUGUGAGAGUGGAAACUUCACACUGUGACGGUAUCUUACCAGAAAGGACCGGCUAACUACGUG
rnacentral:rRNA from 1 species